GAUGAACGCUGGCGGUGUGCCUAAUACAUGCAAGUCGAGCGAAUGACGAGGAGCUUGCUCCUCUGAUUUAGCGGCGGACGGGUGAGUAACACGUGGGUAACCUGCCUGUAAGACGGGGAUAACUCCGGGAAACCGGAGCUAAUACCGGAUGAUAACGAGAAGCGCCUGCUUCUUUUUUGAAAGUCGGUUUCGGCUGACGCUUCCAGAUGGGCCCGCGGCGCAUUAGCUAGUUGGUGAGGUAACGGCUCACCAAGGCGACGAUGCGUAGCCGACCUGAGAGGGUGAUCGGCCACACUGGGACUGAGACACGGCCCAGACUCCUACGGGAGGCAGCAGUAGGGAAUCUUCGGCAAUGGACGAAAGUCUGACCGAGCAACGCCGCGUGAGCGAUGAAGGCCUUCGGGUCGUAAAGCUCUGUUGUCAGAGAAGAACAAGUACCGGAGUAACUGCCGGUACCUUGACGGUACCUGACCAGAAAGCCACGGCUAACUACGUGCCAGCAGCCGCCGUAAUAC
rnacentral:rRNA from 1 species